rnacentral:rRNA from 1 species
AGAGUUUGAUCCUGGCUCAGGAUGAACGCUAGCUACAGGCUUAACACAUGCAAGUCGAGGGGAAACGACAUCGAAAGCUUGCUUUUGAUGGGCGUCGACCGGCGCACGGGUGAGUAACGCGUAUCCAACCUGCCCACCACUUGGGGAUAACCUUGCGAAAGUAAGACUAAUACCCAAUGAUAUCUCUAGAAGACAUCUGAAAGAGAUUAAAGAUUUAUCGGUGAUGGAUGGGGAUGCGUCUGAUUAGCUUGGUUGGCGGGGUAACGGCCCACCGAAGGCUACGAUCAGUAGGGGUUCUGAGAGGAAGGUCCCCCACAUUGGAACUGAGACACGGUCCAAACUCCGUACGGGAGGCA